GUUUUCAUUUAAAGCAUUACAAUCAACUUCAUUUACACAUUCAUUGGAAUGGAAAGGCUUGAAUGGAUGGAAAAUACAAUUGCAAGAUCAACACUGAUUUUGCCUAUUGCCUUCUCUCCUGAUUUAUCUGCCCAUCUUCAUGGUGCUUCUUCAUGUUUUCCUCCUGUUUUUGUUUUCCUGAUCACCUUAACCAAUUGAUCCGAAGAAAAGCAAGUCCAAUAAAAAUGCAAUGAAUCUCAAACUCUAACGACCCAUAAACCGAUAAAAAUAAACUUGACAAGGAUAAACAUGGCUGGUGAAUGUGAUGCUUUUUGGGAAACAAAAUGAAAUCAAAUGGAGAAACAAAACAGCGGACUUUUAUUCACUACUAUAAUAAUCGUAAUAAUCAUUCUGAUAAUAACAACAACAAUAAUAAUGUAAUGCCAAGUAAGCCUAUAAAAAUAUCCUGUUUAUGAUGAAAAGUUGAAGGAAACAAAAAAAAAGGUUUGGUGUUGAUAAGGAAUGGCAAAAGUCUACAGAAAGGGAAACAUGAUGAUGAUGAACAUGGAAAAGAUGCGCAAAAAAAUAUUUUGUCAAAACACAAUUGUAAAGCUGCUUUGAAUUAUGUUAAUGGAAAAGUGGAAUCCAAAGGAAAAGCUUUAAAAGAUACACAAAAUGGAUACACACAAGAAAAGAAAAGCAAAUCAAGGGAAACAAAAUUCAAGAUGAGAUGACAUUUUCAUUAUAAAUACUAAAAUAUGAAAAUCGAAAAUGGAAAGAAUCGAAAAAAUGUUGGACUGGAAAUUUACGACUAAAUAGACAACACGGUAAACACACUCACACAUAAGGUUCAAUUACAUUAAAUUGGUGAUGAUAAUAAUGGAUGGAAACAUUUGUUAACAAACAACAAGCAAACCCUGUUGACUGAAUACAAGUGGUGAAAACAAGGCGCAAAUCAACAUGUUCAAGUGCAUGUUAGUCAAAAGAGUUGGUGUUGUCAGUUGAAGAUGAACAAAGAUGAGUCUUUGUCAUUGAUUGCCUUGUCAAGAGCCUUUUCAAUAUCAUCCUCUUAUCCAUGCAAAUAGCCCUUGUAAAACUGGCUAAUAAUGGUAAUACAAUUUUGGAUACAAAUGAAUGGAGUUACGUUACAGGCAGUUCAAGUUAAUCGCUCUAAUUUACCAAAUUUUAUUGUGUUUAUCGUUUCCACUCAUCAUCAUCAAUGCAUCUCAAAGUAGACCAACACGCGAUCAAAGUAUUUAUCAUCAUUUUAAUGGCGGCCAAACACGAGAUGUUCAAUGAAUCUGCAGUCUUGUCCUCAUUCAAUUUUCAACUCAUCACCAUUCCAUACAUUUAAAUAUUCAAUAUUUUCCUAUUAUCUUGGCAAACAAAUAAUUGUUGCACAUUAUCCAGAUCAAUAUCAACCUUUUGGUUAAUUGAAUCAAUCAAGUAAUUGACCGAAAUCCCGUUUCGCCAGUUUAAUCAACUAACAUCCAGAUAUAAAUUAUAAUAAAAGUGGACAAAAAAAGGAAAACUGUUUUUUUCGCUUUUUAUCAAAUUCAUGUCACCCAAACUUUUCAAUUGGCUCUUCGUCAAACUUCACAUUAUAAUACAAUCAGAUGGAAUGAAAUUUUAUCAGCAACACACAAAAAAAGAGAAGAAAAAGUUCACCAAGAAAAAAGCUCCAAUGAAUCUGAAUGGAAAGCUGAAUGUGUUCUGAAUAUUAACCUUUUCACUUUUUGUGAUCAACUUUCAUUAUUAUUGCUAUUAUUAUUAUAUAUUGCCAUCCAAAAACCUCCGAAGUAUCAUCAAAAUACAGUCUAUUCAAGCAUUACUUUAAAGAAUCUAAAAAAAGUUAAAUGUUUCUCCAUUCUUUUCCUUUUCAUAUUAUUAUCAAUUGAAUAUUAUUUCAUCAAAUUCACCUUCAAGCCAUCAAAACAACCCAAAGAGAAACAGAAGUUCAAGAGUUUUUCAUCCUUCAUUGAGACAGAAUUUACAGUUACAAUUCACAAUAUCUUCAUUCACUUCUCAUCAAUUCAUUUCAUCUUCAAAAUUCUCAUAUCAAUCUUCAACAAGGAAAAAGCAAAGAACCAAAGAAAGCAAAAAAAAGACUAACAGUAAAUAGAUUACGUUCAAUUGUUUCCAUUGGCAUAAUAUCAAAUUUAAAAGCUUGUUUCUGAAACUCUUCGCAUCUUAAUGCUUCUCCUCAUCAUCAUCAUCAUCUUACCAUAAACAGUCCCAAGAACAAAGGAAUUAAUCUCAAGAGUAUUUCCAUCAAUAGAAGCAUACAAAUUCAGAUAUCUUCUCUGGAUCCUAACUCAUCUUCCAUCAUGCUAAUAAGCCAUACUGACUUGAAAGUAAAAAUUUAUAUUUCCAUCAAAUAUUGGAAUAAUGUUUCACUUACGGAUCAAAAAAAGAGCCAAAAAACCUCUGAAUAAUAUUCUGGAAACUAAUUAAUAUUGAUAAAUCAAAAAGUGUUUCAAAAAAUGUGAUUCAAUGAAAGGUAAAAAGCAAGUUGAAAGGGAAGAAAGGUUCUGAAGCAAAUUUUAAGUAAAUUUCAAUGUCUCAACCAACCAAGUAAACCAAGUUAAAAUGGUAUUGACUUGGUUUCCUUCAGUAAAAUGAAUUUCAAAUUUAA